UACGGAGGGUGCAAGCGUUAUCCGGAUUUACUGGGUUUAAAGGGUGCGUAGGCGGGCUUUUAAGUCAGUGGUGAAAACCUCGAGCUUAACUCGAAAACUGCCAUUGAUACUAUUAGUCUUGAAUUUAGUUGAGGUUGGCGGAAUGUGUCGUGUAGCGGUGAAAUGCUUAGAUAUGACACAGAACACCGAUUGCGAAGGCAGCUGGCUAAACUAAAAUUGACGCUGAGGCACGAAAGUGUGGGGAUCAAACAGG
rnacentral:rRNA from 1 species